rnacentral:lncRNA from 1 species
CUCUGCGGUUCUGUAGGGUAACUGCUGCUAGAGAGCCUAAUUGAUUUUGGAGUGCCGCCGGGUUAGAGUCUCCGCGACUGAGCUGGUCUCGGCAAGCGGUGCCCAACAUGGGGGCUCACAUCCGGGUCAAAGGGUCGCCGGAGCGACAGUUGGAGAACGUGAAACUAAACUGGAGGACACCCGAGUACUCUUAAGCAAUCCCCGUGCAGAGCCAGGAGAGCGUAUAGCACAGCUCCUGAUUGUGCCGUGAGAGUGGACAGGGCGAUGGCAGGUUCGCCGGGUGUGAGGCUUCACAGCGGUCCAGGGACCAAGUCGAGAUGGUGAAAACAAGACCAAGAUUGGAAAGCCAGCUUCAGAGGAGGGAAUUACAGCAAAAAUUGAACCAUUGACAGAAGAGUCUAGCAGUCUCAGAGAGAAUGUUCUCCAGGAUUCUGAAGGCAGAGAAUUCUGUGAAUUUGGGGAUAAAUUAAAUGAAAAAGAUCAGAACGCCUUUAAAAGGAGACCUCAAAACUGUGACAAAUAUGGGCAAAGCUUUGUUUGGAGUACAAGCCUUUUUAGGCAUCGAAGAACCCAUGGUGAGAAAGCUUAUGAAUGUGGUAAGUGUGGAAAGGCCUUUAGUGUGAGCUCAGCCCUGGUUCUGCAUCAGAGAAAGCAUGCUCAUUUUUAGAAGUCUCUUCUUACUGCUCAUUUUUAAACUCAUUUUUAAAAAUUUUUGGCUGGGCACAGUGGCUCACACCUGUAAUCCCAGC